rnacentral:rRNA from 1 species
CGAAAACGAAUUCUCUCUUGAGUGGAUCCUGAGUACGACGGAGCACGUGAAAUUCCGUCGGAAUCUGGGAGGACCAUCUCCUAAGGCUAAAUACUCUCUAGUGACCGAUAGUGAACCAGUACCGUGAGGGAAAGGUGAAAAGUACCCCGGAAGGGGAGUGAAAGAGAACUUGAAACCGUGUGCUUACAAGUAGUCAGAGCCCGUUAAUGGGUGAUGGCGUGCCUUUUGUAGAAUGAACCGGCGAGUUACGAUCUGAUGCAAGGUUAAGCAGAAAAUGUGGAGCCGUAGCGAAAGCGAGUCUGAAUAGGGCGAAUGAGUAUUUGGUCGUAGACCCGAAACCAGGUGAUCUACCCUUGGUCAGGUUGAAGUUCAGGUAACACUGAAUGGAGGACCGAACCGACUUACGUUGAAAAGUGAGCGGAUGAACUGAGGGUAGCGGAGAAAUUCCAAUCGAACUUGGAGAUAGCUGGUUCUCUCCGAAAUAGCUUUAGGGCUAGCCUCAAGUGAUGAUUAUUGGAGGUAGAGCACUGUUUGGACGAGGGGCCCCUCUCGGGUUACCGAAUUCAGACAAACUCCGAAUGCCAAAUAAUUUAACUUGGGAGUCAGAAUGUGGGUGAUAAGGUCCAUAUUCGAAAGGGAAACAGCCCAGACCACCAGCUAAGGUCCCAAAAUAUAUGUUAAGUGGAAAAGGAUGUGGCGUUGCCCAGACAACUAGGAUGUUGGCUUAGAAGCAGCCAUCAUUUAAAGAGUGCGUAAUAGCUCACUAGUCGAGUGACACUGCGCCGAAAAUGUACCGGGGCUAAACAUAUUACCGAAGCUGUGGAUUGUCCUUUGGACAAUGGUAGGAGAGCGUUCUAAGGGCGUUGAAGCAUGAUCGCAAGGACAUGUGGAGCGCUUAGAAGUGAGAAUGCCGGUGUGAGUAGCGAAAGACGGGUGAGAAUCCCGUCCACCGAUUGACUAAGGUUUCCAGAGGAAGGCUCGUCCGCUCUGGGUUAGUCGGGUCCUAAGCUGAGGCCGACAGGCGUAGGCGAUGGAUAACAGGUUGAUAUUCCUGUACCACCAUUAUUCGUUUUAAGCGAUGGGGGGACGCAGUAGGAUAGGCGAAGCGUGCUGUUGGAGUGCACGUCCAAGCAGUGAGAUUGAGUGUUAGGCAAAUCCGGCACUCUUAAGAUUGAGCUGUGAUGGGGAGAGGAACUUGUUCCUCGAGUCGUUGAUUUCACACUGCCGAGAAAAGCCUCUAGCUAGAAUAACGGUGCCCGUACCGCAAACCGACACAGGUAGUCAAGAUGAGAAUUCUAAGGUGAGCGAGCGAACUCUCGUUAAGGAACUCGGCAAAAUGACCCCGUAACUUCGGGAGAAGGGGUGCUCUUUGAGGUUCACGCUUCGAAGAGCCGCAGUGAAUAGGCCCAAGCGACUGUUUAUCAAAAACACAGGUCUCUGCUAAACCGUAAGGUGACGUAUAGGGGCUGACGCCUGCCCGGUGCUGGAAGGUUAAGAGGAGUGGUUAGCGCAAGCGAAGCUACGAAUCGAAGCCCCAGUAAACGGCGGCCGUAACUAUAACGGUCCUAAGGUAGCGAAAUUCCUUGUCGGGUAAGUUCCGACCCGCACGAAAGGCGUAACGAUUUGGGCACUGUCUCAACGAGAGACUCGGUGAAAUCAUAGUACCGGUGAAGAUGCCGGUUACCCGCGACAGGACGGAAAGACCCCGUGGAGCUUUACUGUAGCCUGAUAUUGAAAUUCGGUACAGUUUGUACAGGAUAGGUAGGAGCCUUAGAAGCGUGAGCGCUAGCUUACGUGGAGGCAUUGGUGGGAUACUACCCUAAUUGUAUUGGAUUUCUAACCCGCAGCACUUAUCGUGCUGGGAGACAGUGUCAGGCGGGCAGUUUGACUGGGGCGGUCGCCUCCUAAAGAGUAACGGAGGCGCUCAAAGGUUCCCUCAGAAUGGUUGGAAAUCAUUCAUAGAGUGUAA